rnacentral:rRNA from 1 species
GACGAACGCUGGCGGCGUGCUUAACACAUGCAAGUCGAACGGUGAAGCUCCAGCUUGCUGGAGUGGAUCAGUGGCGAACGGGUGAGUAACACGUGAGCAACCUGCCCCUGACUCUGGAAUAAGCGCUGGAAACGGCGUCUAAUACUGGAUACGAGAAGGGUCCGCAUGGGCACUUUCUGGAAAGUUUUUCGGUUGGGGAUGGGCUCGCGGCCUAUCAGCUUGUUGGUGAGGUAAUGGCUCACCAAGGCGACGACGGGUAGCCGGCCUGAGAGGGCGACCGGCACCCCUGGGCCUGAGACACGGCCCAGACCCCUCCGGGAGGCAGCGGGGGGAAUUAUUCCACAAGGGGCGAAAGCCGUAUGCAGCGCCCCCGGGGGAGGAAGGAGGCCCUUGGGUUUGUAACCCUCUUCCGGCGGGAAAGAAGGGAAAGGGCCGGUCCCGGAAAAAGAAGCCCCGGCUACCUACGUG